rnacentral:tRNA from 1 species
UGGAGAUUAGCUCAGUUGGUCAGAGCGUUCGGCUGUUAACCGAAUUGUCGACAGUUCAAAUCUGUCAUCUCCAG